GCCCUCACUUCGAACUGUGGCGUUCAUCGCCGCGUUCCCCUCACGGGGAUAGAAGUGGGGGUUUUA
rnacentral:ncRNA from 1 species